GACGAACGCUGGCGGCGUGCUUAACACAUGCAAGUCGAACGGAAAGGCCCUGCUUUUGUGGGGUGCUCGAGUGGCGAACGGGUGAGUAACACGUGAGUAACCUGCCCUUGACUUUGGGAUAACUUCAGGAAACUGGGGCUAAUACCGGAUAGGAGCUCCUGCUGCAUGGUGGGCGUUGGAUAGUUUCGGCGGUUGGGGAUGGACUGGCGGCUUAUCAGCUUGUUGGUGGGGUAGUGGCUUACCAAGGCUUUGACGGGUCGCCGGCCUGGGAGGGUGACCGGCCACAAGAGGACUGAGAGACGGCCCAGAGGCCUACGUGGGGCAGCAGGCGAGAGUAUUGCACAAUGGUCGGGAGCCUGAGGCGGCAGCGCCGCGUUCGGGAUGACGGCCUUUGGGUUGUGAACCGCUGUCGCCUGUGACGAAGCGGUAGUGACGGUAACGGGUAAAGAAGCACCGGCUAACUACGUG
rnacentral:rRNA from 1 species